rnacentral:lncRNA from 1 species
CUCGGAGCUUUGCUGAAACUGCACAAAAAAUCGAGCUGGGGGGUUCCCUGGUCCCCGAUGUUGGGGCGGAGAGCGCGGCGCCGAGGGAGGGGGCGGCGCAGACCGGCCUAGGGGACACCUGGUCGAGCGCAGCCGCCGCUCCGCUCGAGCCCUGCGCUCCAGUGCCCCCACUGGCUGGAGAGCUCGCCCAGACCGGGGGUCUUCCUCCGUCGCUGACAGUUGUUACCUGUUAAGUCAUUAAGAACCAGAAAGGGUGAAACAAAUGAAAAAAAUAAAUAACGUUGCAUUUUCACCUCGAUUUGGGAGCAGUAAAAGAUUUUAACCAUUAGAAGAAUACCAGUUCUGGAAAACAACCAAAGUUUCUUUGAUUGAAUGCCCAUGUAAUGCAUUGGAAUAUGAUAGGCGAUUAAGGUUUAACAAUGUUAAAAUGAAGAUAUUACUAAAAUGGCCCUCUAAAUAGCCCAACAAUUAUUAUUUUGUAAGUAUUAGUUUCUAGCUCCUUCCUUCCUCAGUGACCCAUCACCACUGCAAUGAAGACUUGUGUUUGGUAUCAUAUUUCCAUAUAUCUGAUAAUUUUUCUAUUUAUUCUUGAAUAACUUAAAUUGCCCAUUAACACUCUAUUCAUGUUUGAUAUUAAUUUAGAACAAGAAUGAUUUCAUUGCCUCAGGAAACUUUACUAGUGUGGAAAGUAUUUUAUAGAAAGUCCCUGCUAUCUCCGAGUCUGAAGUCAAAAUAUUAAAUCCUUUCUUUAAAGUUUACAAA